rnacentral:sRNA from 1 species
GUGUAGUGGUGCAAUCUCGGCUUACUGAAACCUCUGCCUCCCAGGUUCAAGCAAUUCUCCUGCCUCAGCCUCCCAAGUAGCUGGAAUUACAAGCAUGCACUGCUGUGCCCGGCUAAUUUUUGUACUUCUAGUAGAGACAGGGUUUCACCAUGUUGACCUGGCUGGUCUCAAACUCCUGACCUCAAAUGAUCCGCCCACCUUGGCUUCCCAAAGUGCUGGGAUUAUAGGCGUGAGCCCCUGCACCUGGCCUGAACCAUGUUUUUAAACUGAUAUGACUAUAAUCUUUUUCCCUGUACUUUGAAACAGCCGUUGUGUGCAGGCAGCCCCCUGCCACAUCUUCCAAGAUACGGGAAAUCUAACUGUAUAACAUGAUGGAAAUUAAGUUAUCUGUUAACCCUGAGAGUCUAUCUUCAUUGAGUAAUGUAAAUUUGUUCCUUAAUCUGUUUCUUAACUUUUUAAUUUUUGUACUUAUUUAAAUUUAGUUUUGGAGAAUGGAAUUUUUGCAAGUUCCUGAAACACCAGCUCCUGAGCCUGCUGAAGUCCUAGAAAUGCAGGAAGACUGUCCAGAAGCACAAAUAGGGCAGGAAGCCCAAGACGAGGACAGCAGUGAUUCAGAAGCAGAUGAGCAAAGCAUCAGCCAGGACCCUAAGGACACUCCAAGCCAACCCAGCAGCACCAGCCACAGGCCCCGGGCAGCCUCCUGCCGUGCAACAGCCGCCUGGUGUACUGACAGUGGCUCUGACGACUCCAGACGCUGGUCCGACCAGCUCAGUCUAGAUGAGAAAGACGGCUUCAUAUUUGUGAACUAUUCAGAGGGCCAGACCAGAGCCCAUCUACAGGGCCCCCUUAGCCACCCCCACCCCAAUCCCAUUGAGGUGCGGAAUUACAGCAGAUUGAAACCUGGGUACCGAUGGGAACGGCAGCUGGUGUUCAGGAGUAAGCUGACUAUGCACACAGCCUUUGAUCGAAAGGACAAUACACACCCAGCUGAGGUCACUGCCUUGGGCGUCUCCAAGGAUCACAGUAGGAUCCUCGUUGGUGACAGCCGAGGCCGAGUUUUCAGCUGGUCUGUGAGUGACCAGCCAGGCCGUUCUGCUGCUGAUCACUGGGUGAAGGAUGAAGGCGGUGACAGCUGCUCGGGCUGCUCGGUGAGGUUUUCACUCACAGAAAGACGACACCAUUGCAGGAACUGUGGUCAGCUCUUCUGCCAGAAGUGCAGUCGAUUUCAAUCUGAAAUCAAACGCUUGAAAAUCUCAUCCCCGGUGCGUGUUUGUCAGAACUGUUAUUAUAACUUACAGCAUGAGAGAGGUUCAGAAGAUGGGCCUCGAAAUUGUUGAAGAUUCAACAAGCUGAGUGGAGACCAUGGUCUAUAGACCCCUUCCCGAUUCUCCUGUCCCAGCUUGGAAGGCAUUGCAAACAGUCUCCGUUUACACAUCUCUUCAUACCACGUGUUUGAAGUGUUAAAAUUCAAAGGGAUCAUUGAAUAAAACGGGUGUAGAGUACAGGAAUGGGGCAGACGCGAUUCAGGUGAACAGCACAAGAAGAAUAUGAGGUGGUUCCUAGGAGCAACACUUUCGAUCUCCAGUUCUCCCUGAUGACAGUAGCUGUCUCCAAGAGAAAAAUCCUCACUUAUUAACUCUCUUUUCUUGCAUCUCAUUUUUAUAGAGCUACUCAUCCUUAUUUGGAAAAACCAACAACAAAAAAGGCUUUUAGAAAAUGGUUGUAAAUCUGACUUCUUUGCAAGUAACUAUGUAUAUUGUAAAUAGAUAUAAAAGGCCUUUUUUCUAAAUAAGGACUUAACUGCCUGUAACAUGAAACUUCAAACUAAACCACUAACUCAAUGAACUACUUAUGGUUUGUCUGACAUCCCUCACUUACCAAUUAAUUAUAAAUAUGUUUUUUUAAAUCCCCAAA